rnacentral:rRNA from 1 species
GGAGGGUGCAAGCGUUAAUCGGAAUUACUGGGCGUAAAGCGCACGCAGGCGGUUGGAUAAAUUAGAUGUGAAAGCCCCGGGCUCAACCUGGGAAUUGCAUUUAAAACUGUCCAGCUAGAGUCUUGUAGAGGGGGGUAGAAUUCCAGGUGUAGCGGUGAAAUGCGCAGAGAUCUGGAGGAAUACCGGUGGCGAAGGCGGCCCCCUGGACAAAGACUGACGCUCAGGUGCGAAAGCGUGGGGAGCAAACAGGAUUAGAUACCCUGGUAGUCCACGCCGUAAACGAUGUCGAUUUGGAGGCUGUGUCCUUGAGACGUGGCUUCCGGAGCUAACGCGUUAAAUCGACCGCCUGGGGAGUACGGCCGCAAGGUUA